rnacentral:rRNA from 1 species
GACGAACGCUGGCGGCGGGCUUAACACAUGCAAGUCGAACGGAAAGGCCCUGCUUUUGUGCGGUGCUCGAGUGGCGAACGGGUGAGGAACACGUGAGUAACCUGCCCUUGACUUUGGGAUAGCUUAAGGAAACGGGGGCUAAUACAGGACAGGAGAUGCUGCAGCAUGGAGGGGGUUGGAAAGUUUCGGCGGUUGGGGAUGGACUCGCGGCUUAUGAGCUAGCUGGUGGGGUAGUGGAUUACCAAGGAUAUGACGGGUAGCCGGCCGGAGAGGGUGACAGGCCGCCUUGGGACUGACAUAAGGCACAGCCUCGUACGGUAGGCAGCAGGGGGGAAUAUUGCACAAUGCGCGGAGGCCUGAUGCAGCAGCGCCGCGUGCUGGAAGGCGGCCUUCGUGUUGUAAACCACUUUCGCCUUUGACGACGCGUGAGUGACGGUAACGGGUAAAGAAGCCCCGGCUAACUACGUG